CGCCUUAAACGAUGUCAACUAGCUGUUGGGGCCUUCGGGCCUUGGUAGUGCAGCUAUAGCGUGAAGUUGACGGCCUGGGGAGUACGGUCGCRAGAUUAAAACUCWAAGGAAUUGUCGGGGACCCGCGCAAGCGSGGGAUGAUGUGGGUUAAUUUKAUGCAACGCGAAAAMCCUUUCYUACCCUUGACAUGUCUGGAAUUCGAAAGAGAUUUGGAAUUGCUCSCAAGAGAACCGGAACACAGGUGCUGCAUGGCUGUCGUCAGCUCGUGUCGUGAGAUGUUGGGUUAAGUCCCGCAACGAGCGCAACCCUUGUCAUUAGUUGCUACGAAAGGGCACUCUAAUGAGACUGCGGGGGACAAACCGGAGGAAGGGGGGGAUGACGUCAAGUCCUCAUGGCCCUUAGGGCUAGGGCUUCACACGUCAUACAAUGGUCGGGACAGAGGGUCGCCAACCCGCGAGGGGGAGCCAAUCCCAGAACCCCGAUCCAAUUCCGGAUCGCAUCUGCAAAUUGGAUGCAUGAAUUCGGAAUCGYUAUUAAUCCCGGAUCACCAAGUCGCGGUGAAUACGUUCCCGGGUCUUGUACACACCGCCCGUCACACCAUGGGA
rnacentral:rRNA from 1 species